UACGUAGGGGGCAAGCGUUGUCCGGAAUUAUUGGGCGUAAAGGGCACGCAGGCGGUUCCUUAAGUCUGAUGUGAAAGCCCACGGCUCAACCGUGGAAGGUCAUUGGAAACUGAGGAACUUGAGUGCAGAAGAGGAGAGCGGAAUUCCACGUGUAGCGGUGAAAUGCGUAGAUAUGUGGAGGAACACCAGUGGCGAAGGCGGCUCUCUGGUCUGUAACUGACGCUGAGGUGCGAAAGCGUGGGGAGCGAACAGG
rnacentral:rRNA from 1 species